GACGAACGCUGGCGGCGUGCUUAACACAUGCAAGUCGAACGGGCCUGUCUUCUUUUUUGGGGGUGGGUUGAGUGGCGAACGGGUGAGUAUCACGUGAGUAACCUGCCCUUCGGUCCUGGAUAACCGCUUGAAAGGGCGGCUAAUACGGGGUGGUCCGGUUGGUCCGCAUGGGCUGGUCGGGAUAGAUUCACUGUUUUUGGUGUUUCGGCGGGGGAUGGGCUCGCGGCCUAUCAGCUUGUUGGUGGGGUGAUGGCCUACCAAGGCGGUGACGGGUAGCCGGCCUGAGAGGGUGGGCGGCCACACUGGGACUGGGAUACGGCCCAGACUCCUACGGGAGGCAGCUGUGGGGGGUAUUGCACAAUGGGCGGAAGCCUGAUGCAGCGACGUCGCGUGAGGGAUGGAGGCCUUCGGGUUGUGAACCUCUGUUUCCGGUGGUGAAGGCCCUGUCCGUGUGGUGGGGUUGACGGUAGCCGGGGAUGAAGCGCCGGCUAACUACGU
rnacentral:rRNA from 1 species